rnacentral:lncRNA from 1 species
CCCCGCCCCCCGCGAGCCGCCCCUGUGGGACCGCAGUCACCGCCGGCGGUUAAAGGCCGCGGAAGCUCUGGGAGGUAGCAGUGCUGUGAGCAUCAUCUCGCUGCGAUGACUUUCAGUUUUACUUCCCCUUGUUUUCCAGUUCCCACAGAAAGCCAUUUGAAUAGUAGACCGCCCGCACGCUGCAGCAGCUGCUGUGGAUUCUGAAGCAGAUGCAUCCAGCAGGCCGCGGAUGGCAGUGAUGGACACAACGCGGGCUCACAGGCGCAGGGAGACCAACCCUCAGUCAUCCCCAUCCACUGGCCGUAAUUACCCGUGCAUAUGGAAGUGCCCUCUGUGGCUCUUCUGCUAAUUAAGCAGCACUUUCUUGUCGUUUAUCAGAAGGAUCGGAUCAGGAGAGCAACCAAGGUCAUUAGAAGUCUUCCACGUGGAACAGGCGUGCACAGCGGCUCACCACGCGGCUGAGGCGGCGCCCAGCAGCGCUGCCUGGCACGGCUGUGUGUGCUGGGACUGCUCAUAGGAUAUAAGGAAAGAUGCGCUCGCCGUUCAGAACAGCUCUUCUGCUUAUUAGGAGUGUCCUCCUGCCAUGAGCCCUGCUGAUGGGAGGUGUGAAACAUUUGGUGAUUCAACCGACGUGUCCAGGUCCCCUGCAUGGAUAAAACAGCGCCAGAUGGCUUUGUGAGCACUCACAUCCCAAAUGCCUCUAAAGGCACAGGAAAGAGAUGGAGCAGAACUGCAACAGGGACCUGCGUUUAUGCUUUCCAAUAUCUUUGUUAAUUAUCCUCCUUUCGUACCGCAUGGGCAAGGACUGGGGAGGAGAUAAAGCGAGAUUUCCUCAUUGAAUUUGCAGUCAGAUGAUUUCUGAAAGGCACAACCAAAGGCGCAGUUUCUUACUGAAAUACAAAGAGAGCAGAGCCCAUUUCUCACGGCAUCAAACAGCCGUCACACUGCUCCAGGAAAUCAGAAAUCACUGCAGAACACCAACACUUGGAAUCUGGAACGUUCUACCUUAACAGGGUACUCCAGUCAUGCGUGGCAUUCUGCCGCUUUUCAUGAUGGUUUGAGACUGGAGACCAUGAAGCCUUUCUAGAUGUCUGCAGAUGAGGUACUGGAGAGACAGCUUGUAAGGAAGAGGGUCUGAGAAAGCAAUUUGUGAUCCAGCAGGAAACCCCUUAUCAAGCAGAGAACCUCAGUGAGACACCACUGCCUUCUGCUCGGCCAGUGGUUCAUUGAAACAUAGAAUCCUUCGAGUUGGAAGGGCCCUCUGAAGGCCAUCUAUUCCAACUCCCCUGCAGUGCACAGGGACACCACAACUACCUUUGCAGGACAGAAACGAAUGCCAGCAUCCCCAGGAGAUGAUUUAUCAGUCACAAAAGUUGUGUUAUAUUUUUAUUGUCUUCACAGAUAAAUCAGACCAGCAAGACAUCUGUAACUGUACACACAAAAUAUUUAUCAAAACAAUUAACAUUACAAAUCUCCUUUUAAAAUAAUUUAUUUCACGUCUCUCUCUUUAAACGGUACUGUCUUACAACGUACAUUAUUCAACAAGGAUGUGCUGAACAGACUCUAAAAGAAGAAACACUUAAAUUAAGCAAUCAUCUCCGAUUAGAAUUUGGAUUCCCCCCCCCAUAUCCUCACCUGUAAACGUUUGCUGGGAUACGCUUCUGGUGGAGGUUUGAUUUUGUGCUUACAAAAACAGCGUUGAGUUUCCGGAUGUUAAGAAUGCAUUCAGUCCAACACACAAGGCAACCAAAUAACUCUGCCGUUAACGUUAGCAUCGUGUAUAUUUUAGUUCACUGCACUAACAUUUAAACUAAAACUUCAAACCACGUAAUCUUUAAGUGACUAACAUUUAAAAGGCAAGCAGUAAUAUCCUGGAAGCUGACAGAGGACACGGACACACGGCUAAGACGGGCUAUCACUGGACAAAGGCUGUGGAUGCGUGUAUGGCUGCUUUUUCUUGUAAGAAGCCCACCUGCAGACAGGGCAGCAGUGCCGCCCACCUGCCAGCCACAUCACGAUGCAAUUCUGGUGGAACACGUGGCCGCACGGCAAGCCCAUGAGCAGGCAGCCCCUCUCGAAAUUUUCGAGACACACCACGCAUUCCGUACAGUGCAGCAUCUCAGGGGGCCAUGCUGACCAAUCUGGCUCGUCUGCGGUGCUGUACGAGCCGUACGACCUCGCUUUCCGUUCACAUGGCUCCUUGUGACAACAUGUACUGGCACACAAACAGCUGCCGGCACGGCUGCGAGGCUCUCCUGCCCUGGGCCUAUGAAAUGUACUUGGCUCAUCGUCCUCCGAGAUGUCUUUUUCACUGCUGAAGACCUCUCUGUUCUCAGUGUCAGAGUCACUUUCGCCGUCUUGAAGGGUUUCCAGCGUUUCCUCAUCCGAAUGGACGCCGAGGCAUUUAAACCUCCACACUGAUCCUUUAUUGUAUGUUUUUAAAAAGCCUUAAUGGCUAUGUACAUUGUUGGAUGUGAUAAGCUUCUAGAGGCUAACCAGAGAGCAUUAAGGCAUAGCAGAGCCUGGAAAAACAAGAAUGUUGUGUUACUCCUCUGCCAAUAAACCAAACAGCACCAUUCUCUGCUCCAGAAGCUACCACUCAUCCUUCCUGUUCACCAGAGAAGUGCAUAACAGCAGCUGGCAAGCAAGAAGAAGAACAUAAACGGAAAGGUGAUGAUAUCAUGAGCUAAUAAGAGAGAGAACAUGCUGCUGUCUGAGGCUCUAUGGAAGCCCCAUACAGGAACAUGGGACACUUGCUAGCAGCUGCAUUGGUAAACAAACUACUGUUGUACCACUGAACCUCAAUUCUUUGCAUGUCGAUUUCCAGAAAAUGGAACAUAGUCACAAAACACUUGCUUUCCUUGCAUACGGUCUCUGACUUCCUUCAAGAGAUUCAUCUUGCUGGCUCUCAACGAAAAUUCACCUCUGAAUUUAUCAGACACAUCAAGAAAUAAUCGUAGUUUCCUCAUUUUACUCACAUCCUCUGCAGACAGUGCAUGCUAUUACAUUACCAGCUUGUGCCACCCCAGAAAUCUCAUUUAUGUGCACUGGAAAAUUAAAAUCAUCUUCCGAGUCUUCAUCUUCUGAUCCAUCAUCAUGAAGUCUCCCAGACCAACUCAACCAACAAGCACUGUGCAAGCUGAGCCAGAACCAUUCUUUGCCCUCCACUGCUUUCCCAGACCACAUGGAACAGAUUCAGGGUCAGGAAAGAAUCUGGAGCUCCUUUCGUCUUCCCAGUCAGCAGCAACAACAGAGCAGGGAAUACUCCCCCCUUCUCUGUGGUCACUGAACCUCUACAUAAAGCAUCCUCACUCUUGCCCUGUCUCCUGCCUAAGCACUGAGCUGAGCAGCUGUUUCCACAGUAUGCUUAAUGGUAAAGCAGAAUGGGUAAUGGAGGGCAAUCAGGAGUUGGAACUGGAAGUGAUGACAGGAAGAUUUGCAGGGAAGAGGCACGUGAAAAGAGCAUGGAAAAACCUGUGAAAGGACACAAAGAAUCCAGUGCAGGAGUGAAGUAAUUGUGGCGAGGGAAACAAAUGAAAGCACAGCGAUGAGAACUUGAGGGAAGGCAAAAAUGAAAGAAAGAAAUUUGAUAUCUUGAGUGGUUUUCAUUGCGGAGAAAAGAGACCAACAGCAUUCAGCAAGUAAAUUAUUCAGUAAAUUCCAAUAAUGUUUCUUUCCACAGCUAUUGUGACCAACUGAAUAGCUGUUCAAAUAUUUCCAAGACGAUGACAACAUUCAUCACAUCUGAGAUAUCAAAACGCAGCCUGACUGAUUGGCUAUUAUGAAGCUGGCUGAAAAUAUAUUACCAUUAAAAUGCAGCAAACAACUGACAACAGAGAACUGCCACAUUUUACUCUUUUGAACUGUAUGGAGAAGAGUUUUUCCACAUCAUACUCAUAUGAAUUUGUCAGCUAGCUGAGAGACAGAAAGCACAGUGUCACUCAACAGCCCCUCUCUCUGCUUGACAUAUCCCCUUCUGCAUGAUUCAAACCUGAAAUUUGGACUCAGUGAUUGUUUCCAAAAUGCCAACACCAUUUUGACUACAAAAGUAAUCCGUCAUCUCAUCGCCUAUUUCUGAGGUGGUGAGAGCAUAGCUCUAGUAACACAACGUCAUUAAAUCCUGAUAAUCAAUUUAAAUAGAAUACAUGAAGGGAGGAGAUCAGACAAACCGUUUAAUGUAGGAAGGAGAGCUGUCAACUAAACAAUGAAUUACCUGGUGGAAAGUCUGAUAGUCCACUGUGGCUGGUAGCAUGGAACUUUUGCCUAAAAAGAUCUCUUAUCAAUGGAGAAGUUGACGAAAGAAAGUAUUUUUUCACAUUUUUAAUCUAGACUACUUAUCUUAUGUUCUCAUAUGUUCUCAAGAGAGAUGAUAAAUUGCUCCAGAGCCUCAUCUGCAGAAGCCUGAAUGUUUUCUCAUUCUCGUGCAGCCCUGUGGAAGCACGCUGUAAAUCAGAGGGCCCGCAAGGUUUGGGUAAAGGCAAACUUUAAGCCUCCAGAAUAUACUUUGCAAACAGGCUGCUGGAUUGGAAAGCUGCACCUCUCUCAUUUGUGAAGAGGUAAGAGAGACUGCUAAAGUGCUCUGAGCCCCUGAGAUAAAUAAACACUUCAACCAAUAGGGUCUGAGCAUGUAAUAAAAGAAGAGCAAGACCAGAGGCACUGCUCCUGUGCCAGUUGGGAGCACAUACACCUAAUGCACUUACUUCACACAAUACACAAACUUGCACAGUAUCAGGGCCAAGUACUUGCACAGUCUGUGUGCUAGUGUGCUGCUCUGCUUGUUUGCUGGCUGCAAAGCACCUGUUUUCAAAAAGCAAUCCACCGAGUAACAGGUUUUCUUCUUCUUCUCUGUAUAGGAACUCUGUCACUUCCAGUCUUGCUCAAUUUUUAGAACAGAUUCGCUCCUUCUGAUCUCCCUGAUGUGGUUUAUCUCUGCCACCAUCUCUCUGUUGCACCCUUUUCCUACUAGUUAACCACUCCCAAAAAUUGCUCCUUCAAAACUUACUUUGAAUGUGAUAAAUAGAUAAAAAUACACGAUAAAAUAUCC